AUUAAAAGAAAACCAGAGGAGUUGCCUCCACAAUUAUCAAAAGGAUUUUUAGGAAGAAAUGAACAUUUUUAUUGGGGCAAAACAGAAACUUAGAAAUCUGCCUCAAAAGAAAAUAAGAGAGGGGAGAAGGGGGUUUUAUCCUAUGGUGCAACUAGUGGUUGUUUGAAAUGCACUUGUUGCACCCACACUUCAACAAACACAAAAGCACAUCCACAUAACACUUGCACAUCACAUCAAGGUUCACCCACAUCAACACAAACAAAACAAAAGGAAAAGAUGCAAUGCAUGCACGCAUGAUGCACAUAAAAUG
rnacentral:lncRNA from 1 species